ACUAGCGCAAUCUAUCUUGAAUGUAAUGCAAUGCGUAUAAAAAAUUAUAGUACAAAAAUGUUGACAAAAAUAACAGUUUUAUAGAGAUUUAUAAUUUAAUUAUUUAAUUAAAAAAAAUCUCGGAACAUUUGUAGCAAUAUCUCAAAAUGAUAUUAACCACCUUAUUUAUAAAUAGAACAUUAUUUUACGAAAAAUUAUUUUUUUUGAAAAAAUUAAAAAAUUAAUCUAUUUUGUGCCCAAUUUAAUAAAGUUACAAUCCAUGGUUGCACUGCAAUGAAUACUAAAAUUUUCUAAAAUAUAUUCGCAAAGUUAUUUGCAAUGAAAAAAUUCGCAAUAAAAUUUCUAAAAAAAUAAUAUUUUUAUAAAUUAUAAUGAUAUUUUUU